GCCUCUGUAGCUCAGUUGGUUAAAGCGCUGCACCGGAAUCGCAGGGCCGUAGGUUCAAUUCCUACCAGAGGAC
rnacentral:tRNA from 1 species